CCCCCCCCCCCCCCCCGUAGAUUACAGAACCUUGAGUAAACCUCCCUGUACUUUACGGUGGGUCCUGGUUAGUUCUCUGUUGUAUACGCAGCGGUGCGAAUGUGACUCCCGUCCUCCCAAUUUACCCCCCCACACACCUAUCUUUCCUUCUAAGCUAAUGAUCCCAAGGUUUUUAGGGAAAUGUACCCCGGCAGUAACCAUUUGAGUAAACUGGCAAAUGCAUAUAUUUGUUCACUGCUGUUAUGUUCAUACGCUAUCAUUUCACCAAAAUAGGAAGGAUGUGCACGUCUACACCUGUGUAUUUAUUCAUCUACCUUGUUUCCUUCCUGCCCCACAGGGGAUCAGCUCACCCUCCACGGCCUCCAACGUGCAUGUCCAACCGGAGAGAAAACUCCUUCAUCAUCCUCUCCAUUUCUUCAUCCCCCCCCAACUUCAGCAGCAGCCACUGAGUGGGGAGCGCGCCAUGCACUGGGGGUGCCAGGGUGAUCAAGGGGACAGGGCUCUUGCUCUGCUGAGCCUCCGUUUGAGCUGGGACACUGCUCUUCUCUCAAACCUGCCUUGAAGCUGGGACGCGGAUCUUCUUCCCCAUCUGUCUGUGAGCUGGGACAUGGGUCUUCUCUAGAAUUUACCACUGGCUGGACCAUCAGCUCUCCUGCUUCUCAGGUCUUUGGACUAAAGCUGGAAUUACACCACUGGCUUUCCUGGGCCUCCAGCUUUGCUGAUGGCAGAACGCGGGACGUCUCGGUCUCCAAAGUCAAUAUCAUGAGUCAAUUCCUUAUGAUAAAUAAGAAGUGAUACACACAUAGAUGUCGAUGCGGACGCAGACAUAGAGACAGAGACAGACAGAGAUACGCAUGUAUCCUCCUGCUUCUCCCUCUGGAGAGCCCCGAUGAACACACUCCGCUGUAAACUACUGGGGGUCUCGCAGGGCUUGGGGGCGGAGUAUAGCGGAUGACGUACACAAAGCAGGUUAGCAACGCACUGAGCACGCCGCUGGAUGCACCAUUACUGCCAGUUCAACAGAGAGCUGUAAUACUGGCCGUGGGCUCAAGCACAUGCACAGAGACGGCACGUAUGCGCCUUCCUCGAUUCAAUUUGACAAAAGCACCUGUUGAUCACUGUUUGAAGAGUCCUCCUGCACCUGACAAGGUGUCUAGCACAAGCUGGUCAGCCAACAAGAGCUCUUGCUAUUAUUUCCUGGGGGGUCCUUGGACUCAUUCCUCCACCCAACGGAGGGAGGCAGGGGAACAGCCCUCUGGCCGGGGGAAGAGUACAACUGCCAUGAGCAUCUCUGAGAAUUUUUGGUGCAUCGUCAGAGUAAAAAGCUAACAGACUUGUACUCUUUUUAUUUUCUUGUCUUUUUAGGGCCACUCGAAUCAGAGCUACAGCUGCCAGCCUACGCCACAGCCACAGCAACGCCAGAUCCGAGUCACAUCCGCAACCUACACCACAGCUCACGGCAAUGCUGGAUCCUUAACCCACUGAGCGAGGCCAGGGAUCGAGCCUGUGUCUUCACGGAUACUAGUCAGGUUUGUUACCACUGAGCCGUGAUGGGAUCUCUGCAAACAGACUUUUGGUGGGUUUUGCUAUUGCUUUUAAAUUCUCUGCAGACAACAUACUGCCUUCCCUGCAUGAUGCCCGCCACACGCCACAGCCGAAACGUCUUCCAACUUCCCCAGAAAGGGAAGAGAGUGAUGGCAGCUGUCUCCUUGACGCCUCGUCCCCAGGGCCUUCAUAACACUUCAGGGGAAAGAGAAAGCUGUUCCUCGGCACACCAUGUGGCUCCGGCCAUAGUGGGCUCCCUGAAAUGCUGUCCCCGGCGAGGGAGACGCACAUGCAAAGCACAUCCCUGGGAAAGGACCCGCUGGCCAGGAGGGCUGGAGUGGGGGCGGGAAGGGACAGAGCUGAGAUGAGCCAGGGAAGAGGCAGGGGAUGAGCUUCUAGAGCCAUGCAGCCCCUGUUAAGAGUUUUCUGUUAUCUGGAGUUCCCGUCAUGGCGCAGCGGAAGUGAAUCCAACUAGGAACCAUGAGGACGCAGGUUCGAUCCCUGGCCUUGCUCAGUGGGUUAAGGAUCCAGCGUUGCUGUGAGCUGUGGCGUAGGUCCCAGAUGUGGCUUGAAUCCCGUGUUGCUGUGGCUGUGGCGCAGGCCAGCGGCUACAGCCCCGAUUAGACCCCCAGCCUGGGAACCUCCAUAUGCCGCAUGUGUGGCCCUAAAAGAAAAAGAAAAU
rnacentral:lncRNA from 1 species